UACAGAGACCUCAAGCGUUAUCCGGAUUUACUGGGCGUAAAGCGUCCGUAGGUGGUUUAGCGGGUUAAGGGUUAAAACUUCGUGCUUAACACGAAGGCCGCCCUUAAAACUACUAAACUAGAGAAUGGGAAAGGUAAGCGGAAUUGCAGGUGUAGUCGUAAUAAGCGCUGAUAUCUGCAAGAACACCAAAUGCGAAGGCAGCUUACUGGAACAUUUCUGACACUGAGGGACUAAAGCGUGGGGAGCAAACAGGAUUAGAUACCCCAGUA
rnacentral:rRNA from 1 species